rnacentral:snRNA from 1 species
UGAUGUGAGGGGCAAUCUGGCAGGGACAUUUGUCGCCCCUCUGAUCGCCCAGGGUUGAUUUCAGGUGAGUCUGUGGCUGGCUGGCUGGGGUGUCCCCUUCCUCCCUCACUGCUCCACGUGCAUCACCUCCUGACUGUGUGCCUUGGUCAAAGAGGGCAUGACCAUUCCCCAAUAGGAGGAGGACUGGUCUUCGGUCAAGGGUAUAUGAUACGGCGCCCUCCCCUCUGAACCUUCCAGAUCAAGCUCUCUACUAACAAUACAAAAAUUAGCCAGUCAUGGUGGAUAUGCACCUUUGUCGGUACCUA